UCUGUUUUAUUAAUCAAUUCACAUCUCUCUUGCAUGGCCAAUCUGGCUGGUAGAUUCUCCAGAUCCGGCUAGUACGUGGUGGCAGCAAUCCUGCGAGUUCCUGUAGCAGAUAUGUCACAGACAAGAAUCUCUAUAAGUAUUUGAAGCAUCUUUCCUAUCGAAUGUUCUAAAUACAUCUUUAUGAUGCCAGGGCUACUGACAACCAGUUCAAGUUAAGUUGCUUGAUCUCCACUCCAGUUGGACCGGUUAGUUGAUUACAGAUUUGAGGAUGCCAGUUAUUCUGUAAUUUGCAGGGACCUCCAGAUCUUUUUGGCUCUCGAGUCCAUACUUCAAAGUUAAACCCAGGACUAACAUAGUUUGGUGAGGUGAUUAUGAAGAGAGUAUGAUGAAACAAUUAUAAUAGCCGGAAUUGAUUAUUCAUUGAUUGAGCAGAGGAGGCAACUUAUUACUCUCUGACAUCAACGACGUGGAGAUCAUUAUCAGUUGGUAGAUGUGAUCCGGUUCUAUGUAGACUGUCCUGACUGCUCGGGUAGGCAUGUUCUUUGAAGAAAGAAUCGAUGAUUGCGAAGCAAGCUCAUGUUUGAAUUCCUGAGAUGUUUUAUGUUACACAUAUUGCCUGUAAUUUGCAUUCCAGCCACAUAAUGUGUGAAAAGGGGGCCAAAAAACAAAAACGAGAUAUGUAAUGACGCCAACAAAAUAACUACUAAUGAUGAAGAAGGCUUCAUAGAUUGUGAUGAUGUUGGUGCAGAUGAAAAUGAAGAUGCUGAAAAUGCAAAAACAAACGGGUGCAAGUAGUGGAAGCUGAAAUAUAUUUGGAACCUUCCAAAAGGGAAUAGGAUAAUGGUUCGCAACAAUGACCUUCCAAAUAUUUUUUUGCACACAAGAGUAUUGUGCAGACCGAGAAAACAACAAAAGGUGCUAAUGCAGCUAUCAGACUGCUCAAGGUGGUUUGCUUAGUUGGUUGGGUGCUAGUGAACUAUAUGUUCAAAAGAUAAAUGGAUGAGUAUAUAUGGGUGGGUGGCAAGUAUACUUCAAUGAGGAUGUUGAUUUUCUGGAUCAUGGUGAUGAUGAUGGAUGAUUUCAGUUUUAUUUAAGUAGUAGGGAUGUCGUUCCCGUUGGAUGUUGUUUGUCGGUCUUGUUUUGGUUAAGUUGUAGGGAUGUUGAUGGAUGCUUUCAGUUUAAGUUUCACUGGCAAGAAAAUAGUUAGAUUAUGCAUCACAUUUGGAUGAUGUUCCUCAUGUAAUUUCCAAUAUUGUAAUCUAACAUUUUUAUGUAAUAUAUG